UCGCACAAAACAUGGGAACACAAAUUGGAGGUUUAUAGGAGAUUGGGUUUCUCUGAAGAUGAGGUUUGGUCGAUUUUCAGAAAGCAUCCCAAAUGCAUGAGUUUGUCAGAGAAGAAUGUUAUGGGUACGAUGGAUUUUUUUGUGCGCAAGAUGGGUUGGCAGCCCGCUGCUGUUGCUAGAUUUCCAACUGUGCUUUGUUAUAGUUUGGAGAG
rnacentral:misc_RNA from 1 species